rnacentral:rRNA from 6 species
UAAACGACUCUCGGCAACGGAUAUCUAGGCUCUUGCAUCGAUGAAGAACGUAGCGAAAUGCGAUACUUGGUGUGAAUUGCAGAAUCCCGUGAACCAUCGAGUUUUUGAACGCAAGUUGCGCCCGAAGCCAUUAGGUUGAGGGCACGUCUGCCUGGGCGUCACAU